ACGUGGUGCCUUCAGGCUCUGGGGCCUAGGACCUUUGUGGUAGCGGAGUCACUGCAGAGAACCAGACAAUACCAGGUUGCUUAUAAAAGGAUGCCACGUGCUUGCUGGGGGUCCCAGGUGCAACCAAAUUGCUUGCAGCUAGGAGGACCUUGAAGAGAAAUGGAAUCAGCCUGCCAAACCAAGAAGGAUUAGCACUUUUGCUAGGAGAGCUGACCAUGCACAAACAGAUGAGAACCAAAACCGAGUGAAGAGGAUUGAAGAUGAACCCACAUUUUAAAAGUUCUUGUCUGCUGGAGGUGGCAUUACCUGUGACCUUGCUUCACUUCUCCAUACAUGGCUGUUAUAGCAGAAAAUCCAGCUUUCUGAAGCAUAUUUAAUGACAUAUGAUGAGACUUAUGUGAUGUGAGACCUGAGAAAACUAUGAUAGAAAGAAGCAACUCAAGCUGCAAGGAUAUUCCUCAUGUAUCAUGCAAGGAUAUUCCUCAUGUAUCAUGUUUUUUCUAUCUUCUGCUCUUUGCCACCUGUGAGGUCCCUGAAAAUGAAGGCCAAUACUACCCAGAGACUAAGGUGUCACUAUGUUCUUCAAGCUGCUCUGCUCCUGGGCCCAAGCUAUUCUCCUGCCUCAGCCUCCCAAGAAGCUGAAACUACAAGAACAUGAGACUGUACCUGGCUUGCAAACACCAUUGCUAAUAAGAAGAUAGGGUCUCACCCUGUCAUCCAGGCUGGAGUGCAGUGGCAUGAUCGUGGCUCACAGCAGGCACGACCUCCCUGGGCUCCGGUGAUCCUCUCACCUCCACCUCCUGUGUAGCUGGGCCCACAGGUGCAUGCCACCAUGCCCAGACAUGGAUCCCUGAGGUCAGUCCCCAAUACUACAAGACAAUUUGAUAUCAUAAUAGAAUACUGCAGACAUAAUGCUGAGUGAAGAAGAGUAGAAAUGGAAGACUUGGUUGAGCGGAAACUGAGUUCUUGAAAAGAGGAGAUGCUUGAUGAGGGAUCAGACUCUGUUGCCCAGACUGGAGUGCAGUGGCAUGAUCAUGGCUCAAUGCAGCCUCAACGUCCCUGGACUCAGGUGAUCCGUUCACCUCCACUUCCUGAGUAGCUGGGACUACAGGCAUGGAUCCCUAAGGUCUGCCCCAGUACUAUAAGACAAUUUGAUGUAAGAAAACACAGCUGAUAUAAUGCUGAGUGAAGAAGAGUAUAAAUGAGAAGAUUGGUUGUGCGGAUACUGAGUUCAUGAAAGGAGGAGAUGAUUGAUGAGGCCAGGUGCAGUGACUCAUGCCUGUAAUCCCUGCACUUUGGGAGGCUGCGGCGGGCGGAUCACCUGAGGUCGGGAGUUCGAGACCAGUCUGGGAGACAGAGCAUGGAAACCUAAGGUCUGUCCCCAAAACUACAAGACUAUUUGACAUCAUAAUAAAACACUGCAGAUAUGAUGCUGAGUGAGUAAGAGUAGAAAUGGGAAGACUUGGUUGUGCAGUAACUGAGUUCUUGAAAAGAGGAGAUGCUUGAUGAGGGCAGCGUCUCACUCUGUUGCCCAGGCUGGAGUGCAAUGGCAUGAUCAUGGUUCACUGCAGUAUCAACCUCCAUGGGCUCCGGUGGUCCUCCUACCUCCACUACCUAAGUAGCUGGGGUUUCCAUUGCAAGCCACCAUGCCUGGCUAUUUUUUGGAUUUUUUGUAGACACGGGGUCUCACUACAUUGCCAGGACUAGUCUUGAACUCCUGGGCUCAAGCUAUCCACCUCCUUGGCCUCCCAAAGUGCUGGGAUUACAGUUGUGAGCCACUGUGCCCAGCCAAUGCUAUAUAUUUUUAAUCCUGAUCGGUGUUAUAGCAUGGAUCACGAAGGUCUGUUCCCAAUACGAGAAGACUAUUUGACAUCAUGAUAAAACACUGCAGAUACGAUGCUGAGUGAAAAAGAGUAGAAAUGGGAAGACUUGCUCGUGCAGAAACUGAGUUCUUAAAGAGAGGAGAUAGUUUAUGAGGGCAUGGAAAUCUAAGGUCUUUCCGGAAUACUACAAGAGUACUUGACAUCAUAAUAAAACACUGUAGAUAUGAUGCUGAGUAAGAGUAGAAAUGGGAAGACUUGGUUGUGCAGAAACUAAGUUAUUAAAAGGAGGAGAUGCUUGAUGAGGGUUUAAGAGCUACAUGGGCACUUAUGUUAUAGCCCCUCUAAAUAGUGGCCUCCCGCUCAACAUAUAAGGCCUAAUGACUAGGUCAGAAUAUGGAGCAAAACUCCCAGGGAACCUGGGGAGGGAGUCAGGACAACAACCACGUGGCCCGGUGCCUAGAUUUGCUCUUCUCCAAGACCUUGGGGGCUGGAGUGCACUGGAGCAAUCUUGGCUGGUCAAUACUGAGUUCUUGAAAAGAGGAGAUGCUUGAUGAGGAUGGGAUCAUCUAGUUGCAGGAAAACAAGGCUCAGGGUGCCUACUGAUUCUACAUUACGCUUGGUCCGGAGAGCUGCCUUGGACUCUCCAAUGAAUUCAAACAGCUGCCUCUGUUACCUUGACUCGUCUCAGAUUUCGUUGGCCCGAGAUGGGUCCUGGCACUAGGAAUGUAAGACUGUCUCCAUUCUUUUGGCUUGUUCCAGAGAAGCCCAUGCAAGGUUCCUACUGACCAUAUGUUUCUUUCUUUUCUUUUGUUUUUUUGAGACGGAGUUUCGCUCUUGUUGCCCAGGCUGGAGUGCAAUGGCGCGAUCUCGGCUCACUGCAACCUCCGCCUCCCGGACUCAAGAGAUUCUCCUGCCUCAGCCUCCCGAGUAGCUGGGAUUACAGGCAUGCGCCACCACGCCCGGCUAAUUUUGUAUUUCUAGUAGAGUUAGGGUUUCUCCAUGUUGGUCAGGCUGGUCUCGAACUCCCGACCUCAGGUGAUCUACCCUCCUUGGCCUCCCAAAGUGCUGGGAUUACAGGCCUGAGCCACCGCGCCCGGCCUUGACCAUAUGUUUCAUUUCUAGCUUUGAUGUCUGGGCAUCGAUUUCCCUCGGUUAAACUAUUUGCUCAAUGUUAAGGCCACUCUGUAGAAAUUUGUCUGUGUAACUGAGGUGCUAUGCAGGCCUGCCUGUGUGACUGUCAUGCAGGCCUGUCUGUGUGAUUGUCAGGGAGAAUUGGUCUGCCACAAUCCUUUUCUAAGCAUAGCCAAUAGAGGUAGUUAGGGAUAAUUUGUAUAUUACAGAAAUUGCCUUACAGAGAGUAACACAUUUCUAUACUCUCCUUCCAUAACAGACACUUAAAAAAAAAAAAAAGUAAUGUAUGCUUGCUGUGGACCUCAUUUAAGAUUGCAACAGAAGCACUUUUCAAUACUGUUAAACAGCUUUUUACUUUCCAUAUUUUAAGCUUUUUAGUUUAUUAUUUUCUUAAUUUUCUAUUUUUAAUUUUUUGAUAUAUUAUAUUUGUAUAUAUUUAAGGGUACAUGUGAAAUUUUGUUACAUGCAUACAAUGUGUAAUGAUCAAUUCAUGAUAUUUAAGUUAACUAUCAACAAAGUAUUUAUCAUUUCUAUGUGUUGGGUACAUUUCAAGUCCUUUCUUCCAGCUAUUUUAAAACUACAGAAAAUUGUUAAUUAUAGUCACCUUAUUCUUCUAUCAAAGUUUAGAGCUUAUUUUUUCUAACUGUAUGUUUCUACUCAUUAACCAACUCUCUUCAGCCCCACUGCCCUCCCGCAAAUACACCCUUCCCUGUCUCUGGUAUCUAUCAUUCCACGCUCCACCUCCAUGCCAACAAGUAUUUUAGCUCCUACAGAUGAAUGAGAGCUAUAUUUUCCUUUCUGUGCCUGGCUUAUUUUACUUAACAUAAUGAUCUUCAGUUCCAUCCAUGUUGCUGCAAAUACAAGAUUUCAUUUUUUUAAUGGCUGAAGAGUAUUCCAUUGUGUAUAUAUAGACUGCAUAUUCUAGGUUUCCCAGUUUGUUAGUGUAUAGUCGUUCAUAAUACUCUCUGAUGAUCUUUUGUAUUUCUGUGGUAUCAGUGGUAAUCUCUCCUUUGCCAUUUCUGAUUUUGUUUAUUUGGGUCUGUUCUUUUCUUGGUUAGUCUAGCUAGUGGUUUAUCAGUUUCAUAUAUGUGUGUGUGUGUGUAUGUAUAUAUAUAUAUAUAUAUAUAUAUAUAUAUAUAUAUAUAUAUAUAAAACUGUCACCCAGGCUGGAGUGCAGUGGUGUGAUCUUGGCUCACUGCAACCUCCUCCUCCUGGGUUCAAGCGAUUCUUGUGCCUCAGCCUCCCUAGUAGCUGAGUUUACAGGCGUGCGCCACCAUGCCCGGCUACUUUUUCUAUUUCUAGUAGAGAUAGGAUUUCACCAUUUUGGCCAAGCUGGUCUCGAACUCCUGACCUCAAGUGAUUCACCCGUCUCGGCCUCCCGAAGUGCUGGGAUUACAGGAGUGAGCCAUCGCGCCUGGCAGUUUUGUUUAUAUUUUCAAAGAACCAAUUUUUCAUUUUGUUCAUCCUUUGUGUUGGUUUUUAAUCUCCAUUUUGUUUAGUUCUGCUUUGAUCUGUAUUAUUUAUUGAUCCACGUUACCAUGGUUUUUUUUUUAGUAGAAAAUACCUUUUAUUUAUACAUGGAUUCAGAAAAUAAGGAAAUACUCUCAAAAAGAAAAACACUGAUAUAAAUGGACCAUGCCAUAAUAAGCACUGAUUAAAUUUAAUACUUCUGAUUCUCUUGUUUUAUGCAUAAAUCAGUCUUUAGAUUCCUGUAAAAGACAUAAAGAACUGAAUUAUUCAAUCAAUAAACACAAUUUACGUAUUAAAUAUAACACUUUACGUCUCACAAUUAGAGAACAAGUUUUUUUUUUUUGAGAUGGACUUCUGGCUCUGUCGCCCAGGCUGGAGUGUAGUGGUCUGAUCUUGGCUCACCGCAACCUCCAACCUCCCAGGUUCAAGUGAUUCUCCUGCCUCAGCCUCCCGAGUAGGUGAGAUUACAGGUGCCUGCCACCACGCCGGCCUAUUUUUGUAUUUUUUAGUAGAGACGGGGUUUUGCCAUGUUGCAGGCUAGUCUCGAACUCCUGACCCCAAGUGAUCCGCCCACCUUGGCCUCCUAAAGUGCUGGGAUUACAGGUGUGAGCCACCGCGCCCAGCAAGAAUGAGAAUUUUUCAUAGGUUUAUCAGUCUUUUGGCACAAAAUCAUUUAAUAUAUUAAAAUAGUAGGCAUUUAGCCAUCCAUAUCAUUUGUCUGUUCAAUAAAUUUGGAAGUAAAGAAAUGUUACCAAAAUCUUGUCUAAUCUGAAAUUAAUAAACAUGUUUAAGAUUUUUUUUUACUCAAAUAGGAAAUAAAAAGGGAACUUACAUAAUAUCCAGAGAAUAAUUAAAGGCAAAAUACAUCAAAUCAAAUCCUAUUAUGCCUGCAGAUGCUUUUCUCAGAGGAACGCCUUUAUCCAUUAAUGACUUUAUUAAAAUGUUUAUUUAUUUAUUAUCAUAAGCUCAACCAAGUGUUACAUAAAACAGUUUUGAAAAUUAAGGUAAUAAGACCGAAAAGAAUGAACUAAUCUUACCAAAUGUUAAUAAACAAAUAAUUAAUCCAAGCAAGUGAGAAGAAUUGAGUCAAUCAUUUUGAAAGUGAAAUCACAGGAAUAGAAAGCCAAAGAUUAAUAAUCAAUGAAUUUUAAACAGAUUCUUUGAAAUUAUCAAUAAAAUAUAUCAGCCUUAUUUUAGUCCAUUCAGGCUGCUGUAGCAAAAUACCCUAACUAGGUAAUUUAUAAUCUUUUAUAAAUAAUAAAACUUAUUGCUUACAGUUCUGGUGUCUGGGAAGUCCAAGAUCAAGGCCCCAGCACAUUGAUUGUCUGUUGAAGGCUCACUCUCUGCUUCAAAGAUGGCACCUUCUAUCUAUGUGCUCACAUGGCAGAAGAGGUGACAAGCUCUCUCAUGUCUGUUUUAUUAGGGAACUAAUCUCAUUCAGUAUGACUGACCCUCCAUUAUCUAAUCAGCUUCCAAAGGCUACAUCUCUUAAUAAUGUCACCUUGGGGGUUAGGUUUCAACAUAUAAAUUUUGGGGGAUACAGACUUUUAGAACAUACCUUCCCACCCUUGGGCCCCCCAAAUUUGUCUUUCCCACAUGCAAAAUAUAUUCAUCCUAUGCUAAUAGCCCCCAAAUUCUUUUUUUUUUUUUUUUUUUUUUUUCCUGAGACAGAGUCUCACUCUGUUACCCAGGCUGGAGUGCAGUGGCGCAAUCUUGGCUCGCUGCAACCUCCACCUCCCAGGCUCAAGUGAUUCUCCUGCCUCAGCCUCCUGAGUAGCUGGGACUACAGGCGUGUGCCACUAUGCCCAGGUAAUUUUUGUAUUUUUAAUAUAGACGGGGUUUCAAUUUGUUGGCCAGGCUGGUCUUGAACUCCUGACCUCGUGAUCCACCCACCUUGGCUUCCCAAAGUGUUGGGAUUACAGGCGUGAGCCACCGUGCCCGGCAAUAGCCCCCAAAUUCUUAACCUGUUUUUGCAUCAACUCAAAAGUUUAAAGUUCAAAGUCUCAUCUAAAUAUCAUCUACAUUAGAUUUGGGUGAGACUCAAGAUAUCAUUCAUUCUGAGCCAAAUUCCCCUUCUACUCUGAGCUUUUGAAGUUAAACAAGUUUUGUGUUUCCAAAAUACAGUGGUGGGACAGGCAUAAGUUAGAAAUUCCCAUUCCAUAAGGGAGAGAGAAGAAAGGAAAAGGGGUAAUAUGUUUCAAGCAAGUCUAAAACCCAAGAGCACAAACAAUAUUAAAACUUAAGGCUGGAGAAUAAUCUUCUUUGACUCAGUGUUGUGCCUUUCACACACACUUGGAUGAGGAUUGGGCCCCCAAGGCUUUAAGUGGUCCCAUUCCCAAUGACUUUUCUGUGCAUAGCCCGUGCCACAGUGCUCAUGUGUUGGAGUCUUGUGUUUGUGGUUCUCCUAGGCUGGAGUUGCACACUGGUGGCUUUACCAAUCUGAGGUCUCUGGGAUGGCCCUGCCCUCAUGGUUUUACCAGACUUUGCCUUUAUGGUGGUCCCUCCAUGGCUUUAAUAGACAUUGCCCCAAUGGUGGUUCUUUAUUGUAGUCCUGUUCCUGUGGGACAUCUUUGUCCACGCCCUGCAGCUCUCUAGGGUACCCUUAGUAAUAUAGGUGGAGGUAGCCGUGUCCUUACAGCUCAUUUUGCUCUGUGCUCCUGUGGAGAUGGCACUGUGUUGAUGCUGCCAAGAUUUUUACUGCCUGUGCACUUUAGAGUGGUGGCCUGAACCACAUCUGGGCCCACUUGAGACACAUCUGAUGAGAGAGGGAGCUGAAAAAUGCUAUGCCAGAAUGUAGGGAGCAGAGACUUGAGGUAGUUCAGGGCAGCAAGCACUGAGGUUCCUUGGAUGCCCAAGGUCCCUCUUUUGACCUCAUUUUACACCCCAGGUUUGGUAUUCUGAGCCUGUGAUGUGAGUGGCAGGCUGGAUGGUCUCUGAAAUGCCUUUAGAGUCAUUCUCUUAUUGUCAUGCAGAAUAGCAUCUGCCUUCCUUCUAUCCCUACUAAUCUUCUUAUCAAAUGGUGGCUUGGUCAUACCUUUAGUAUUCUCUUCUGAAUAUGCUUUUUCAUUAAUUCUUCACAACAUAGCCACACUGAAAAUUUUUCAGAUCUUUACAUUCUGCUUCCCUUUUGAUUAUAAAUUCUUUUUAAUUUGUUUCUAUCUUCUUGUAUUUUACUACAAGCAUUCAAGAGAGGCCAUACCACACCCUCAACACUUUGCUUCGAUAUUUAUUUCACUAACUAUACUAUCAUUGCUCAGAAGUUCUACCUUCUACAAAGCCCUAGGAUACAUACACAGUUCAGCCAGGUUAUUUGCCACUUUAUAAGAGGGAUGACUUUUCCUCCAGUUUCUGAUAACAUUUCUCAUUUUCACCCGAGACUUCAUCAGAAUGGCCUUUACCAUCCAGAUUUCUACCAAAAUUCUGUUCAUGACCUCUUAGGAAAUCUCUAAGAAGAUUAAGGCAUUGUUUACAGCUCUCCUCUUCUGAGCCAUAACCAGAUCACUCUUAACACUCUGCUCACAGAAAUGUAGGCUUUUUCUAGCCUGAUCCUUUGCAUUCUUACGGCCUCUACCCGUUUCCUAGUUCCCAAGCUGCAUCCACAUUUGUAGGUAUUUGUUAGAGCAGCACCUCACUUCUUGCUGUCAAUUUCUACCUUGAAUCUUUCAGGGUGCUAUAACAAUGUAAUUUGGACUGGGUAGUUUUUAAAAACAUAAUUUACUGAGAGUCCUGGAGUCACGGAUUUUGAACAUUAAGGUGCCAGAAGAUGUGGUGAACAAUGAGGGCUCAGUCUCUGCUUCAAAGAUGGCACUUUCUAGCUAUGUCCUCAUAUGGUAGUAGAAGUAAAAGAGCUCCCUCAGGCCACAUUUUUAAGGACACUAAUCCCAUUCAUGGGGGCAGAGCCUCAUGACCAAAUCACCUCCCAUAGGCCUUACCUCUUAAUACCGUUACCAUCGGGAUUAGGUACUGGGGCCAUCAUUAAAAAGUCAUUAGGUAUUUGGCGAUCAUUAAAAAGUCAGGAAACAACAGAUGCUGGAGAGGAUGUGGAGAAAUAGGAAAGCUUUUACAUUGUUGGUGGGAGUGUAAGUUAGUUCAACCAUUGUGGAAGAGUGUGUCGAUUCCUUAAGGAUCUAGAAUCAGAAAUUCCAUUUGACCCAGCAAUCCCAUUACUGGGUAUAUACCCAAAGGAUGAUCAAUCAUUCUACUAUAAAGACACAUGCACACGUAUACAUAUGUUUAUUGUGGCAAUGUUCACAAUAGCAAAGACUUGGAACCAACCUAAAUGCCAUUGAUGACAGACUGGAUAAAGAAAAUGUGGCACAUAUACACCAUGAAAUACUAUGCAGCCACAAAAAAGGAUGAGUUCAUGUCUUUUGCAGGGAUAUGGAUAAAGCUGGAAACCAUCAUUCUCAGCAAAAUAACACAGGAACAGAAAACCAAACACUGAAUGUUAUCACUCAUAAGUGGGAGUUGAUCAAUGAGAACACGUGGAUACAGGGAGGGGAACAUCACACAUUGGGGCCUGUCAGUGGUGGGGGGCUAGGGGAGGGGUAGCAUUAGAAGAAAUACCUAAUGUAGAUGGCAGGUUGAUGAGUGCCACAAACCACCAUUGCAUGUAUAUACCUAUGUAACAAACCUGCAUAUUCUGCACAUGUAUCCCAAAACUUAAAGUAUAAUAAUAAAAAAAAGAAAAUGGUUCAUAUUCAUAAAAUAUCUUUCAAGGUCAAGUUUCAUUACAAAAAAUGCAAUUCUAACCCCCCAGUUGACUGAAUGGAUCCCACACUUCUGCCAAAGAGAUUCCAAAGAAACCUGAAAAACUAGUUAAGGCCAUAAAGGGAAGGAAGUAGGUGGUCAGACAUGCCUCAUUAUACCCUCUCCCAUUUGGAUUUCAGGCAUAACUGACCAGCAUGAACAUUAAAACAGAUCUUGGCCUGGUGAGGUGGCUCACGUCUAUAAUGUCAACACUUUGGGAGGCUGAGGUGGGCGUAUCCCUUGAAGUCAGGAGUUCAAGAACAGCCUGGGCAACAUGGUGAAACCCUGUCUCUACAAAAAUACAAAAAUUAGCUAGGCAUGGUGACAUACACCUUAGUCCUAGCAACUUGGGAGGCUGAGGCAGGAGUAUCGCUUGAGCCUGGGAGGCAGAGGUUGCAGUGAGCUGAGAUUGUGCCACUGCAUUUCAGCCUGGGUGACAAAGUGAGACCACCUCUCAAAACAAACAAACAAAAACAAAGAAAAAAAACAGAUCUUAACACUGACAAAACAGACUCUUUGUAGCAAUAAGAUACCAAAGUCCACCCUGACUCUAGUAUGACUUCAUAUGAUAAAAAUGGAAAUAAAAAUAUUUUACCCCAAAGUAUGUUUUUUUGCCCUAUUUUGAAAUGGACCUGCAAAGCCAUUGGGAAACAUUUGCAUCUGUAAAGCAUCUCAUUAACAUAACUAGAUCUUUCCCCUUCCAGGCACUCCUAAACCUGAAGAGAUUAACUGAGAUUCUAGCACCUUUUAAAGUCUACAUAGGAAACAUUCACCAUUUAUUAUCUCUAAGGGCAGCCACUUAUGAGACUUCAUCUGUGUAAUAAAAACCUUGGUCUCCACAACCCCUUAUGUUAACCCAGUCAUUCUUUUCUACUGAUUCCAGGUCUUUAGAAAAUAACUUGACUCUUUCAAGCAAUUGCCAAUCAGAAAAUCUUGGAAUCCUCCUAUGACCUGUAAGCACCCACUUUCCCCUGCUUUAAGUUGUCCUGCCCUUCUAGACCAAACCAAUGUAUACCUCACAUGUAUUGAUUGAUGUCUUAUGUCUCUCUAAAACAUAGAAAAGAAAGCUGUAGCCCAACCACCUUGAGCACAUGUUCUCAGGACCUCUUGAGACCAUGCCUUGGGCCGUGACUACUCAUAUUUGGCUUAGAAUAAACCUCUUCACAUAUGUUACAGUUUGGCUUUUUAAGUCAACAUUAAUUGGCACCCUACAUAUGGGGCCUCAGAGAAGACUCAGAACCCUGAAAGAGUCACCCAAACCCAGAGCUAAGGUACCAGCAGGGGCCCAUUGAAAGCCCCCCAACUCCAAGCUUCUUCUUGAGUGAAACUGUUGCAGGGCUUUGACUCCUGGGUACAUGUAUCUCAUCUGAAAGGGAAUCCUGACGCCUACUGAAUCUUAACAGUCAACGUUGAUAUCUGGCAUCAAAUUCAAGUUGACCAAAGUUCCAUCUUCAGACCUGGGAGAAGAUGACAGUCAAAAUGAACUACUUUCAUGUGACACUGGACCAGGCCUAUAUACAAAGGCAUAAAUAAUCAUUGAAUAAUGUUUCAUCUAUCUAUCUUAAUAUAAUUUGUUCUAUGCCUUACUAGAUAAAUGUUUAUAGUUACCUGUGAGUUUUCUUUUCCUGCCAUUGUCAGAGCUAGGCAGGGCUUAAGUCCCUUUUGUUUAAACAUUACUAACUCAAUACAUAGCUUGCAAAAUUGGGUAAAACAACAAAGGUUACUUUUUCACUCUCUCUCUGCUUAAUAUCUCUGAAAUUUAAAACUAUUCAGAAUCCCACUGGGCCCGAUCUAUUUUCAAUGCUAAUGCUCCACUGCUAAAACUAUAUAAGCACCUUCCCUCUAGGCUCAGGCACUAUCUUGGAAGAGGUAAGUGUGUCAGAUUGUAAAGGUUGAUUUUUGAGCAACAAAAUUAAUUUAGAUCUUCCAAAUAAAAAAUGGGCACACAGAUGCCCAAACAGUUGGCAAAAUAAGAUACUUUACCUCCUGGACCAGUAUGUGGUCCUUUUUCAUCCAUCCCAACCAUAAUUUCCUCUUUCCUGUAGAAUUAAAAGAAAAUUACAAAGAGGAUAUGAACAUAUCUGCUAACAAAACCUCCUGGGUAUAGUGCUCCCAGUUAUGAGAUUUAUGCAGAUUGUUAUAUAAAGUUUUUUUAAAUCAAGCACCUUAGGACAAACUAUUAAAAAGACUGCUAAAAGCGUUGUGACACAACAAAAGUCUCUAAAUUCUGUAGCUUAAAAAAUUUUAACAAAAUACUUAUCUUUUGCAAGCUAAUUGCUACAAGUCUAUAACUAAAACAUGUAUUGACUGAUGUCUUAGGUCUCCCUAAAAUAUAGAAAACCAAGUUGUAAACCAAUCACCUUGAGCACAUGUUCUCAGGACCUCUGGAGACUGUGCCUUGGGCCAUGGUCACUCAUAUUUGGCUGAGAAUAAAAUUUAAAAAAUAUUUUACAGAGUGGGGUUUUUCUUGUUGGCUUUUUCAUAAAAUGUAAAAUGUUUGAGAAAGACACUUCUCAAGUGGCCAAGUGAGGGUAUUCUAGCUUAAUGCGUAGAAUUUAUAGCUAAGUCAAUUUUGUAACCUUGCCUUUUGACUUUUGGUUCUUGAUGCUUACAUUACAAAAUUUUAAGGUUUGAUAAAUGCCUGCUCCACUUCCAUUCCCAUCUGGCCUAGAAUAUUUAAAUUGGCUAUAAGUCUUUUGGCUCUAAAUCUGUUGGCCGUGAGUCCCCACCAAGGGAUAGGAUAGACCCAGGGCAGAUAGCCACACCACCCCAGCAAUGGUAUGCAACAAAAUGAUAGUUUGGCCAUUGAUGUUGCCUCUGGGAAAUUUUUUUUUUUUUUUUUUUUUUUUGACGAAGUCUUGCUCUGUUGCCCAAGCUGGAGUGCAGUGGUGUGUUCUAGGCUGACUGCAACCUUUGCCUCCUGGGUUCAAGUGAUUCUCUUGCCUCAGCCUCCCAAAUAGCUGGUAUUACAGGCGUGCACCACCACACCUGGCUAAUUUUUGUUUUUUUUUUUUUUUUUGAGACAGAGUCUCACUCUGUCAUUCAGGCUGGAGUGCAGUGGCAUGAUCUCGGCUCACUGCAACCUCCACUUCCCAGGUUCAAGUGAUUCUCCUGCCUCAGCCUCCUGAGUAGCUGGGAUUAUAGGCAUGUACCACCAGGCCCAGUUAAUUUUUGUAUUUUUUGUAGAGAUGGGGUUUCGCCAUGUUGGUCAGGCUAGUCUCGAACUCCUGACCUCGUGAUCCACCCGUCUCGGCCUCCCAAAGUGAUGAGAUUAUAGGCGUGAGCCACUGUGCCUGGCCUAAUUUUAGUAUUUUUAGUAGAGGCGAGGUUUUGCAAUGUUGGCCAGGCUGGUCUUGAACUCCUGACUUCAGGUGAUCCGCCUGCCUCAGCCUCCCAAAGUGCUGGGAUUACAGGUGUGAGCCACCACACUUGUCCUCCUCUGCUCAAUCCUGACCAGAAAAAUCAAAUUCUAACUCCCCCAAUCAACUGAAUUCCCCUCCAUUCCUCUGCCAAGGGGAUUCUAAAGAAUCCUGAAAACUAGUUCAGGCCAUGACAAUUAACAUUAAAACAGAUCUUAAUACUGACAAAACAGAUUCUUUGUAGCAAUAAGAUACCGAAUUUCAACCUGACUCAAGUAUAACUUCACAUGAUAAAAAAGGAAAUAAAAAUAUUUUACCCCCAAAAUAGAUUUCUUUGACAUAUUUUGAAAUGGCCCUGCAAGGCAAUUGGGGAAAUUUUGCAUCUGUAAAGCAUCUCCUUAACAUAACUAGAUCUUUCCCCUUCCAGGCACUCCUAAACCUGAAGAGGUUAACUGAGAUUCUAGCACCCUUUUUUUUUUUUUUCUUUUAUUAUUAUUAUUAUUAUUAUUAUUAUUAUACUUUAGGUUUUAUGGUACAUGUGCCCAAUGUGCAGGUAAGUUACAUAUGUAUACAUGGGCCAUGCUGGUGCGCUGCACCCACCAACUCGUCAUCUAGCAUUAGGUAUAUCUCCCAAUGCUCUCCCUCCCCCCUCCCCCCACCCCACAACAGUCCCCGAAGUGUGAUGUUCCCCUUCCUGUGUCCAUGUGUUCUCAUUGUUCAAUUCCCACCUAUGAGUGAGAAUAUGCGGUGUUUGGUUUUUUGUUCUUGCAAUAGUUUACUGAGAAUGAUGAUUUCCAAUUUCAUCCAUGUCCCUACAAAGGACAUGAACUCAUCAUUUUUUAUGGCUGCAUAGUAUUCCAUGGUGUAUAUGUGCCACAUUUUCUUAAUCCAGUCUAUCAUUGUUGGACAUUUGGGUUGGUUCCAAGUCUUUGCUAUUGUGAAUAAUGCGGCAAUAAACAUACGUGUGCAUGUGUCUUUAUAGCAGCAUGAUUUAUAGUCCUUUGGGUAUAUACCCA